rnacentral:ncRNA from 1 species
UACCUGGCCAGUAGUCAUAUGCUUGCUCAAAGAUAAGCCAUGCAUGUCUAAGUAUAACAACUAUACAGUGCUCAUUAAAUCAGUUAUAGUCAUUAAAUCAGUUAUAAUACCUUAUACAUGGAUAACUGUGGUAAUCUAGAGCUAAUAAGCCCCAACUUUGGAUUUGGAAGGGGGUGUAUUUAUAAAAAACCAAUGGCUUUCGGUCUUCUUUAACGAUUCAUAAUAACUUCUCGAAUCGCAUGGCUUCAUUCAAUAUCUAUCUGCCCUAUCAACUUUCCAACUUUCGAUGGUGGUGAUGACGGUACGGGAGAAUAAGGGGUUCGAUUCCGGAGAGAGGGCCUCAAUCUAAGGAUUGCAGCAGGCGCGCAAAUUCCCAAUCCUGACACAGGAGGUAGUGAACAAUAAACAAGGCUCUUUGGCUCUUUUGGGGGAAUGAUACAUGGAAUGAGUACAAUUUCAGAAUUGGAGGGCAAGUCUGGUGCCAGCAGCGCGGUAAUCCAGCUCCAAUAGCGUAUAUUAAAUUGUUGACGUUAAAGCUCGUAGUCGACUUCGGCCUCUGGCAGUGCAGUUGGUCCGCCUUUACCUCUUGGUGAACUUCACACUUUACUGGGUAGUUGAAGGGAACCAGGACUUGGGCUUUUACUUUGAGUGUUCAGAGUGUUCAAACUGAGGGAAUAAUAAAAUACAUUAGCAUGGAAUAAUGUUGGUUUCUAGGAUUACCGGAUUACCGUAAUGUCA